rnacentral:lncRNA from 1 species
AAACAGAAUGGUAAUGGCAAAACCUAAGAGAAAGAGAGGCCUUCAUGUUUUUCCAUGUCUGUUCUCUUAUCCCAAUUCCUUCCUCUUUAAGAUUAAAACAAAUUUUUUAAGUUACGAACAAAAAGUAUUAAACAAUAUGCUAAUAUACCCUAACUAAACUGGGUCUCAGGUGAAGAGUUGUGUAAAUCUACAUGGUAAGCCUUGUAUAGUUGUUUGAACUUUUUAGUGAGCUACUUAAUUAGUGACAAAAUCUGUAUUCUGUGAAAACGCCUGAGCCAUUAGGAAUUUGCAGAUUGAAAUAAUUUUCUUCCUUUGAAAAAUGAUAGGGUUUGCUCUUAGAAGGGACUCCAGACUUGUGAGGCGUUUCAGACUAGGAAGUUAGGGUUCUUGUCACAACUUUCUUUUGCUGUCAUAAAGAAUUUUAAUGUCUUAUGUAUGUGUUUCUGUUUUUCUAUUUAAGAUGUAAAGUCCUAUUAAGAAUGUUAGUAGUAUCAGUUAGCUCUACUUUAAUUAUUACCGGUAUCUUAGUUCAAAAUGUAUUUUGUAGUUGAGAAUAGCACUGUUUGUUUUUAUUACAGUAAAACUUUUUUGAGAGAGUGCUACUAUUUAUUAAGUUUAUUCCAGUGGUCCAGGUCCUGUUAAAAUAAUGUUGAUGUGGCAAUUACUAGGCUGAAUCCCGCUGGGAAUAGAAUUCCAAUAGGGUCUUUGCUCAAGUUCAGAUUUUAUGCAAAGCCAUCUUUUCAGAAUAAAUGGUCACUUGUUAUUUCUUGUACUACAUGUAAUAGUGUUAAUAGCAAAAAUAGUAUCACAAGUUUACUUAUAUUUAGCCUGAAUUAUAUGUUUGUUUAAUUGAUGGCAUGCCAAGAAAAUGAAAUUGUCAUCCCCUUCCAGAGGGUAAUGGGGUGGGGGGGGGCAAAUUCUAUGGAACUGUGACAGCAUUAAUAUAUUUUUUAAAGUCAUGCUUCUUUCCAUGUUUUCUUCUAGGGUCUCGGUUGUUGGUAUAGUGCUACAUUACCUCAUUUCUCUACAAACAGUAUUUUCUUAUAAAGAGUAUUACCAAUAAUAUCUUACAAACAGUAUUUUCGCAGAUGCUGAGAGUGACUUAAAGUUUUAAAAUGUAUUUUUAUUUGUAUAUGUGGCUUUCUGUGACGAUAGACUUAAUCACAUGCCAUGCAAAUCCAGGCACCAGUUAGGCUCACAGCAGUGUAGUAAUCUUCUAUCUGUGAUCUUGGUUUAGCCUUCAAUCAGUCAGUCUAGCUUUGUUCCGAAGAGAAGCAGUUUUCCUUUGUUUUCUAGAUCUCCCUAUGUGUUGUUUUAAUUCUUCUGGAAAUGUGAACUCUGACCUCUUGCUUUUCUAUGGAAAAAUUAAACAGGCCAAUCUAAAAACAUAGUUUUUAAGCCUGUAGUAGCAGAAUUGUUCAUAUAGUUCACUUUUGUGUGUUAAUGCUUUAAUAAGAAACAAAUAGAUUGUUUUUAUUUUUUUGAAAUUCUUGUUUCUUAUGUUUACCCAAACACUUUAUUUCUUCCCUCAAAUAAAGCCUAUCUAGUUGACCCUGUUUGAAGUUAGAAGAACUUUGAAGGUCAUCUUUUAUAUUUCUAUUUCAUGUGCUAAAAAUGAAUGUGAUAGAAGUACAAAGACUUUAACCACUAUUAAUUGGCUAAAAAUGUGGUUUCUAAAGGCAUGUGUUAUAUAAGAAUGAAAUCAGUAAUCUCAUUUAUACAUCUGAAUAUCUGUCACCAUAAUAAUAGCUUAUUAACAGAAAAUAUAGAACUGAUGCCACUUUAAUUUAAAGCCUGAAAUUGUAAAUGUGAAGAUAUUUGGACCCAAUAAAUAUUAAAUAGGUGAUAUAUAUGAGUAUAGUUUAAUAUUUUUUAAUAAGUAAACUGCCUUGUUUCUAAGCAAAACUUUAAUGUUAGACUUAAGAGCUUAUAACUGUAAGAUGAGAAAGAAACAUUAACUUUAAAAUGUCAUUUUGAAAAUUAUAAAAGUAAAUAUUGACCUUAGAAAGUUUUUUCCUUUUGACAUUGUUUAAUUUUUUUUCCUUUUUGUUUUUUAGGUUUGCAAUUUUUUUUGGUGAUGGCAUGUUCAGAAUCUUGGAUCCCUAAGUUGAAUAUGUUGGAAAUAUUUAGGAACUCUGGAAAUUAUUGUUUUGUGUAUAUAAUGGCUUACUAGGUGAAUCAGUAGAUUUAAUAAAAAGUAUAUAAAAGACUAGGUAUUAUAAUUUUGUGUUUCUAAGUUGACAUGCAUAUCUCAAAUUGUCAUCUAUCAGUGUUAGUGUCAUUCUCUGGAGAUAGUCCUAUUUUGAAGAUUUGGGGGUUUUUAUGGACCCCGUAUUUUCCCAGGCAGUUUAUGUAUUCCCCUACUCCUCGGGCCAGUUUGUUCAGCUCCUUUACCUUUCUACUACUGUGCAGUGUAGCUUACUUAGAUCAGUGGUAAUUAUUGAACAGGAAGAGAUCAAGUGACAGUCCUAGAGAUAGUAAUUAUAAAAUUUCAGCCUGGAAAUGACCUCAGAACGGACUGUAUUCGAAUAUACAGAUUAUAUCCAAAUACACUUGUGACAAAACGCUGCCGAUUUUCUCCUUGGAUAUUAUUAUCUAGGAGCAGAAGUGCUAAUAGGGAGGAAAAAGAACUGUUCAGUUUUACCUCUUCCCUCUCUCCCUAUUGUUGGGCGAAUGGGUUAGGGGGAAGGUAAGAUGGCCAAGAGAUAGACCAUGUAAACGAAAAGGAGGAAAAACAAAUUUUAAUCUCCAAGAAAGAAUAUUUCCCUUUAAAAAUUCGAAAGUUAGCUCCAUUCUGUGUACCUGAACAUACUGUUUUAAAACUGUGGGCUCACUUUCACAUAGGCCCAGAAUGUGAGCUAGGGUAUGCUUAUGCUUAACCAUAGAAAUGGCUGGAGAACUUGUUAUUUGAUAGGAGAGUCAGACAGUCCUUGGGUGACAGUCAGUGGUUGACUUGUUCCCUGACCUGUUCCUGCUGGGAUUAACAGAUUUGAGGAAUUUUCUGGGGCAGUUAUUUUGAUGGUCAAAUGAUACAACAGCCUCUCUACCCCUUUGACCAAAACUGAGGAAAAAAUUGAUUUUUAAGACUGUAUUUAGAACAGCCUGAAAAAGGAUCAUGGGAAAAGGCUGAGGUAGUCCAGUAGAAUGUUAAUGUAUUUGACUAUUACAAGGUUUAUUAUUGGUAGAUUAUCCAAUAAUACGGAAGUUGGUGUAUAACCCAAGUUUUCAUAACGUUUCUAUUAGAAGACUUCCAGAACUAAAUAAAAUACACCCUCCACCCCUUUGCUUUACUUUGCUUUGCUUUAAGAGGAUUUGACUGAUAGGUAUAUUUAAUAGGUGGCACAAUGAAGACAUUAGAGUUUUAAAAAUCAGGUUACAUUUUAAUUUAAAUGUGUGUUGCCUCUUUGCUGCUUUCCCAUUACAACUGGCUUUUUAAAAACUCUCCUUCUGUGAUACUUUUGUCAAUAGAGGUGUUUCCUCUUAGCCAAUUCUAGCCACAGUAUUGACUGGGCCUCGGCAUUUGAUAUACCCAGAAGGAAUUAGACAGACAGGAAAAAAGUUGGUCUAUACUGAAAUGAAUAUUUUAAAAACCUUCUUAGAUUCUGAACACUUUGAGUACAAAUGAAAGAGACCCAAGAGGGGGGAAAAUUUAAGAGCCCAAGAAUAAAAAAAUGGUGGGGGUGGGGGUGGGGGAUAACCCCUUACAUAGCUAACUAAGGUAUAAUAAGGGAAGGAAAUUAAUUUCCUGGAGAUUAUGAGAUAGAAUAUGAAUCCCUUGGAUAGUAGGCAUUCUUAGACUCAUUAGGGUAGUUCACACUAGCACACUGCAGUAUUGUAAGGACAGUGGUAUGUGAUCUGGGGAAAUAUUAAUGGAUUUCCUAACACAGAGUUUGAUAUUUAUUGUAGUGUGUUAUAAAUGGGUAUGCAGCUCAAAAAUGAAUAUAAUUCAAAAUAAGUAUCGUAGAUACUAGAGAAAAUAUUAUAAAAUCUGGAUCUUUUGUCUCUAUUUUGCAACGUUAGAGAGUAAUGUAGAAUACAGAGCAUAGUAGAGAAUUGAUGGCAUGACUAUAAUCAGUAUUUGAUGGUUGCUUACUAGAAACUUCUAAAUAAAACCUGACAUUUGUCUAAUGUUGUCCUUAGUUGUACUGUAACAAUUUUAGUGAGAAAAUGUGUACCUUCUUGGGUCACUCCAUAGUCUGGCACAUCACUGUGGAAAUGUAGAAAUCUAAGCUCGUUUACCCAGAGAGGAACGGAUCUUUGUAAAUUUGGAUACAGUAAGUACAUAGGGACACACACAGAAUGUGAGCCUAGAACAGUGGUUCUUGGUAUUUCGGCACUUUUCGACCCCCUUUUGAAAACCUGAAGGUAACUAUGGAUCCUUUCCCCAGCAAGACUGCAAUUUCUGAGGGUAGAGGGACUGCCCUUGGCUGUCAGGUCAGGAAGCCCUGAUCUACAAGAUCAUCUUCAUUUUACUUCUGACCUUGCUCUUGACUUUAUUGUCAACUGUCUGUCAGGGGUUCUCGAAUGGAGCUUCAAAUCUUGAAGGACGCUUACUGCCUUACUCAUUGAACUGAAGCCCCAUGUCCAGAGCUCUGUAACAUAAUGGAGCAGACGUCGUUCACAAAACGCUGCCCCACAAGUACAGUGGUAAAAAGAGAGCCUGAGGCAUUUGUGUGUGGCACAGCCUCCUGGGUAGUACCUCCUUCCUACUGGCACAGGGGGGUUUAUUCCAUAGUAAGUUGAAUCUUGAUGUUCUGUUUUUAAAAUGAGCAUAUUUCUUCUAAAACCUCGAAUUAUUAUAAAGGUUUCUAACUGUGAUUUUUUCCUCGUGUCAUAGGAUGUCACAUUAAUGGUGUAAAAUGUGCACUUCAAAUUAACAUAGUAACUGGGAACCUGGGAUUGUUAUUUUGUGACUCAAAUCUAUAACACGUUUUCAGGGGAAUUGUUGAGAUGACCGGAUAAUUCAUUCUUUAUUCCUUUCAAGUUCCUGAAUGUAUGAUUGUUUCUGAAUCUUAUUAAGCCAUUUAUAAGAUGAGACAAAACUGUCUUCAGUUCGUAUUUUGACACAGAAUGCAUACAUUGAAUUGAUCUUAUUAGAAAUGUGUUUUUGACAAAAAAUUCUAUUUGAGUGGCUCUAAUCUUCAUUUUGGAAUCUCAGAUCCCCUGCUCGUUAUGUCGUUCACUGGGACUUUGCUGCAAAAUACAGCUUCGCUGAGAAGGCCAUCCUUGAAAAAUCAAGAAAUCUGAAGAAACUUACUUUGGGACUUGAGUAAAGAGACGGAAGAGCAUCGUCAGAUUGACAGCGCAGCACACUCUGGAAACAUCUUCGACUGCACUGCUUUUGUACAUGAAACAAUUUGACUGUUUUAUGAACUGGACCUAUAGAGAGAGAAAACAACCUCAUAAAAUGUAUCUUUAAUAUAAGAAAACAGGACUCUGGCCUUUGAAACAUUUCUGUCAGGACAGUUUGUUCUGACUACUCACUGAGGGAGGGAGGAGCUUGGGUCAUUGAACUCGACUGAAAGUUAGUUGCCAUGUAUUCUGGAUUUGAAGGUGUUUUUUUAAUUUCCUGUCAGAAUAUAGUGUUUUGGGCUUUUGCACCAUCUGCCUUCCAUGUGCCUUUCCUGUCCCCUGAGAGAGGAGCUGGAGUUCACCUGUGCCCUGAUACUUGUUCUCUGUCCUUUCUUUUCUAUACUGUUGACUUAAAUGUGGGGAAAUGUGGAGCAGGUGGAGGAUUCCAGGAUCCUGUUAAAUCUAUCCCGCUAUCCCUCCCAGGUAGUUGUAUUGCAUUUCCUUUUCAGCUCCUCUCAGUGUUGCCCAAUUUUAGCCCCUCGGUUAGGUCGAGGCGGCAUUAAAAUCACACCUUUUGAGGCUCCCUUCCCAUCGUCCUUUUUGUUCUGCCUGCAGUGGGCGGUUUUCAGUUGUCCUACUGGGCCACAUGUGCUCUCUCAUUUCCCUCCCCCUUCUUGCGUGUUCUGCUGGAGAGAGAAAACAGAUCUAGACUUGGGGAUUUGAGUUGCGUGGUUUGCCCCCACAGAUGCACAGCACGGUGUUUAAAAUACAGCCUCUUAGCUGUGCUGUCCACAGUAGUCUCCUUCAUACCUCUGCUCUGUGCUGGGCACUGUCCCCUCG